GCUGGGUGUGGUGGCUUACGCCUGUAAUCCCAGCAAUUCAGGAGGCUGAGGCGGGUGGAUUGCUUGAGCUCAGGAGUUCGAGACCAGCCUGGGCAACAUAGCAAGUCCCCGUCUCAU
rnacentral:SRP_RNA from 1 species